rnacentral:rRNA from 1 species
UGGGGGAUAUUGCACAAUGGGCGAAAGCCUGAUGCAGCGACGCCGCGUGGGGGAUGAAGGCCUUCGGGUUGUAAACUUCUUUUGCUCUGAACAAGGCGCACCAUGGGGUGUGUUGAGUGUAGGGGUUGAUUAGCGCCGGCUAACUACGUGCCAGCAGCCGCGGUAAUACGUAGGGCGCGAGCGUUGUCCGGAAUUAUUGGGCGUAAAGGGCUUGUAGGUGGCUGGUUGCGUCUGUCGUGAAAGCUCAUGGCUUAACUGUGGGUUUGCGGUGGGUACGGGCUGGAUUGAGUGCAGUAGGGGAGGCUGGAAUUCCUGGUGUAGCGGUGGAAUGCGCAGAUAUCAGGAGGAAUACCGGUGGCGAAGGCGGGUCUCUGGGCUGUUACUGACACUGGGGGGCGAAAGCAUGGGGAGCGAACAGG